rnacentral:rRNA from 1 species
CUACGGGCGGCUCAGUGAGGAAUAUUGCACAAUGGGGGGAACCCUGAUGCAGCAACGCCGCGUGGAGGAUGACGCAUUUCGGUGUGUAAACUCCUUUUAUAUGUCAAGAAAAUGACGGUAGCAUAUGAAUAAGCACCGGCUAACUCCGUGCCAGCAGCCGCGGUAAUACGGAGGGUGCAAGCGUUACUCGGAAUCACUGGGCGUAAAGGACGCGUAGGCGGGUUGGAAAGUCAGGUGUGAAAUCCUACAGCUUAACUGUAGAACUGCACUUGAAACUUCUAAUCUAGAGUAUGGGAGGGGGAGAUGGAAUUAGUGGUGUAGGGGUAAAAUCCGUAGAUAUCACUAGGAAUACCUAAAGCGAAGGCGAUCUCCUGGAACAUUACUGACGCUAAGGCGUGAAAGCGUGGGGAGCAAACAGGAUUAGAUACCCCGGUAGUC